rnacentral:rRNA from 1 species
UACGGAGGGGGCUAGCGUUGUUCGGAAUUACUGGGCGUAAAACGCACGUAGGCGGCUUUGUAAGUUAGAGGUGAAAGCCCGGGGCUCAACUCCGGAAUUGCCUUUAAGACUGCAUCGCUAGAAUUGUGGAGAGGUAAGUGGAAUUCCGAGUGUAGAGGUGAAAUUCGUAGAUAUUCGGAAGAACACCAGUGGCGAAGGCGACUUACUGGACACAUAUUGACGCUGAGGUGCGAAAGCGUGGGGAGCAAACAGG